rnacentral:rRNA from 1 species
GACGAACGCUGGCGGCAGGCCUAACACAUGCAAGUCGAACGCCGUAGCAAUACGGAGUGGCAGACGGGUGAGUAACACGUGGGAACAUACCCUUUGGUUCGGAAUAACUCAGGGAAACUUGAGCUAAUACCGGAUAAGCGCUGAGGCGGAAAGAUUUAUCGCCGAAGGAUUGGCCCGCGUCCGAUUAGCUAGUUGGUGAGGUAACGGCUCACCAAGGCGACGAUCGGUAGCUGGUCUGAGAGGAUGAUCAGCCACAUUGGGACUGAGACACGGCCCAAACUCCUACGGGAGGCAGCAGUGGGGAAUAUUGGACAAUGGGCGCAAGCCUGAUCCAGCCAUGCCGCGUGAGUGAUGAAGGCCCUAGGGUUGUAAAGCUCUUUUGUGUGGGAAGAUAAUGACUGUACCACAAGAAUAAGCCCCGGCUAACUUCGUGCCAGCCGCCGCGGUAACAC